GGUGCCGUCGGACGGAGCGGGUCAUGAGGGUUGGGGAACCCGAUGAGGGGCUCGUCUUCGAGGUCUGCGGGGUCUUAGGGAGCCCUGGCAGGCCGUUCCGGCGAAGGGG
ncrna:unclassified sequences Actinomyces-1 RNA